UUUUCCGCUGACGAGUGGCGCACGGGUGCGCAACGCGUAUAGAACCUACCCUGUACAGGGGGAUAGCCCGGAGAAAUUCGGAUUAAUACCCCGUAGUAAUGGUGAUCGGCAUCGGUUAUCAUUUAAAGUUUUGGCGGUACGGGAUGGCUAUGCGUCCUAUUAGCUAGAUGGUGAGGUAACGGCUCACCAUGGCUAUGAUAGGUAGGGGCCCUGAGAGGGGGAUCCCCCACACUGGUACUGAGACACGGACCAGACUCCUACGGGAGGCAGCAGUGAGGAAUAUUGGACAAUGGGCGAAGGCCUGAUCCAGCCAUGCCGCGUGCAGGAAGACAGCCCUAUGGGUUGUAAACUGCUUUUAUACGGGAAGAAUAAGGGGCACGUGUGCCCCGAUGACGGUACCGUAAGAAUAAGGACCGGCUAACUCCGUGCCAGCAGCCGCGGUAAUACGGAGGGUCCGAGCGUUAUCCGGAAUCAUUGGGUUUAAAGGGUCCGCAGGCGGGCGAUUAAGUCAGGGGUGAAAUGGUACGGCUCAACCGUAGCACUGCCCUUGAUACUGGUUGUCUUGAGUCAUAGUGAAGUGGCCGGAAUAUGUAGUGUAGCGGUGAAAUGCAUAGAUAUUACAUAGAACACCGAUUGCGAAGGCAGGUCACUAACUAUCGACUGACGCUGAUGGACGAAAGCGUGGGGAGCGAACGGGAUUAGAUACCCCGGUAGUCCACGCCGUAAACGAUGGAUACUAGCUGUCGGGUUU
rnacentral:rRNA from 1 species